rnacentral:misc_RNA from 1 species
GAAAGCUCAAUCUGCUACCAAUCACCGACCAUUGGAACUCGGCUCAGAACCUGCACACAAUGGUGCCGAAGAAAGAAAGGGUGAGUGCAAAAUCCACGAGUACUCAAGAACAUGGUCGAUCGACCCACAUUUGAAGCGAUGACGAGGGUCGGCCCUAACUGCCCUGUUCCUCUAUCUUUCACCUAUACAACUCAUUUUAAGGAAAACACAU